UUGUCACUCAUGUUAUAAAUUCAAGUCAGUCGGGGGCUGUAAGCUCUCGUCUACACCCAUGUCUUUUGCGUACUCUUGUUUCCUCGGUGGCGCAAGCUGCCGAUUGGACAAACCAAAACCUUUUUUGUAAUUGCAAUCAGCGUCUGAAAAUAAUCUAAUUAUUUACAACUUUCAACAACGGAUCUCUUGGUUCUGGCAUCGAUGAAGAACGCAGCGAAAUGCGAUAAGUAGUGUGAAUUGCAGAAUUCAGUGAAUCAUCGAAUCUUUGAACGCACAUUGCGCCCCUUGGUAUUCCAUGGGGCAUGCCUGUUCGAGCGUCAUUUGUACCCUCAAGCUUUGCUUGGUGUUGGGCGUCUUGUCGUAUUACGACUCGCCUUAAAUCUAUUGGCAGCCGGCACUUUGGCCUAGGAGCGCAGCACAUUUUGCGAUCGUAGCCCGUUGUACUGGCGUCCAUCAAGAACAUUUACCACGUUUGACCUCGGAUCAGGUAGGGAUACCCGCUGAACUUAAGCAUAUCAAUAAGCGGAGGAAGGAUCAUUAUCAAAGUCAAGUCGGGGGCUGUAAAGCUCUCGUCUACACCCAUGUCUUUUGCGUACUCUUGUUUCCUCGGUGGCGCAAGCUGCCGAUUGGACAAACCAAAACCUUUUUUGUAAUUCAAUCAGCGUCUGAAAAUAAUCUAAUUAUUUAAACUUUCACAACGGAUCUCUUGGUUCGGCAUCAUGAAGAAGCACGAAAUGCGAUAAGUGUGUGAAAUGCGAAUUAUGAAUCAUCAAUCUUUGAACGCCAUUGCGCCCUUGGUAUUCAUGGGGGCAUACUGUUCAGCGUCAUUUGCUACCUCAAGCUUUGCUUGGGUGUUGGGCUCUUGUGUAUAGGACUCCUUAAAUUCAUGGCAGCCGCCCUUUGGCGUAAGAGCCAGCAAGUUUUGGCAUCGUAGCCGAUGUACUGGCUCAUCAGAACUUUGCAUUUGGACUCCGAUCGGUAUGAGAUAUCCGCACUGACACAUUGAGCA
rnacentral:rRNA from 1 species